rnacentral:rRNA from 1 species
AAAGCCUCUAAGCAUCAGGUAACAUCAAAUCGUACCCCAAACCGACACAGGUGGUCAGGUAGAGAAUACCAAGGCGCUUGAGAGAACUCGGGUGAAGGAACUAGGCAAAAUGGUGCCGUAACUUCGGGAGAAGGCACGCUGAUAUGUAGGUGAAGCGACUUGCUCGUGGAGCUGAAAUCAGUCGAAGAUACCAGCUGGCUGCAACUGUUUAUUAAAAACACAGCACUGUGCAAACACGAAAGUGGACGUAUACGGUGUGACGCCUGCCCGGUGCCGGAAGGUUAAUUGAUGGGGUUAGCGGUAACGCGAAGCUCUUGAUCGAAGCCCCGGUAAACGGCGGCCGUAACUAUAACGGUCCUAAGGUAGCGAAAUUCCUUGUCGGGUAAGUUCCGACCUGCACGAAUGGCGUAAUGAUGGCCAGGCUGUCUCCACCCGAGACUCAGUGAAAUUGAACUCGCUGUGAAGAUGCAGUGUACCCGCGGCAAGACGGAAAGACCCCGUGAACCUUUACUAUAGCUUGACACUGAACAUUGAGCCUUGAUGUGUAGGAUAGGUGGGAGGCUUUGAAGUGUGGACGCCAGUCUGCAUGGAGCCGACCUUGAAAUACCACCCUUUAAUGUUUGAUGUUCUAACGUUGGCCCGUAAUCCGGGUUGCGGACAGUGUCUGGUGGGUAGUUUGACUGGGGCGGUCUCCUCCUAAAGAGUAACGGAGGAGCACGAAGGUUGGCUAAUCCUGGUCGGACAUCAGGAGGUUAGUGCAAUGGCAUAAGCCAGCUUGACUGCGAGCGUGACGGCGCGAGCAGGUGCGAAAGCAGGUCAUAGUGAUCCGGUGGUUCUGAAUGGAAGGGCCAUCGCUCAACGGAUAAAAGGUACUCCGGGGAUAACAGGCUGAUACCGCCCAAGAGUUCAUAUCGACGGCGGUGUUUGGCACCUCGAUGUCGGCUCAUCACAUCCUGGGGCUGAAGUAGGUCCCAAGGGUAUGGCUGUUCGCCAUUUAAAGUGGUACGCGAGCUGGGUUUAGAACGUCGUGAGACAGUUCGGUCCCUAUCUGCCGUGGGCGCUGGAGAACUGAGGGGGGCUGCUCCUAGUACGAGAGGACCGGAGUGGACGCAUCACUGGUGUUCGGGUUGUCAUGCCAAUGGCACUGCCCGGUAGCUAAAUGCGGAAGAGAUAAGUGCUGAAAGCAUCUAAGCACGAAACUUGCCCCGAGAUGAGUUCUCCCUGAGACUUUAAGUCUCCUGAAGGAACGUUGAAGACGACGACGUUGAUAGGCCGGGUGUGUAAGCGCAGCGAUGCGUUGAGCUAACCGGUACUAAUGAACCGUGAGGCUUAACCUUACAACGCCGAAGGUGUUU